rnacentral:lncRNA from 1 species
UGAUCAUCCCAAUUACACAAAAUUAGAAAAAGAAAACAAAUCAUACACCAAACAAUCCACAUAAUCAAUAAGAACAGAGUAUUAGUAUCUAUGAAACAAACUAGACCCACCACCCAAGAUAAAAUUUUCAUCACAAGACACAACAAACAGCAUAACCAGGAUUAGGAAUACCCAAAUGAUGAAUAACAAAACCAUUAAACAAUACAAGAAAAGGGUAAGAAUUGAAGAAAAAAAAAUCACAGUGUAAACCCUAACCUUAACCUUUGCAGUGAAAAAGGGUUGUUACAGUUGAUUAUUAUUAUGAGAAAUAAAGAAAAGGAAAAACGUAAGGUUUUUACUCAAGGAAGAAAUGAGAAUUGGGUAUGACGAAAAGGAAUGAUUACUUACUUACUCGUUAGUUAGUUUGUUUGUUUUUUGUCGUGUUGUUGGCUUUUGAAAGUGAACAAAAGUCAACUCGAAUAUUUUUGUUCACUCAGGUGAAUGUGUUUGGUAGAACAAGAAUGUAUCAUAUCAUCAAGAUGAUGCGGUAGUAAAGUAACUCUUUCGGUGAGGUGAGAAAUCAGAGUGCUGUAC